AGUUGCCUGAGGACAGCAGUGCAGUUGACAUGGAUAUUCUCUUUCCUCUGGACAGUGUUAUCGGAUCAAGCUGAAGUGGGGGAAUGGCUCAGGAUCGGAAAUAAAUAUAUCACUUUGAAAGAUUACAGAAUUCUCUUGAAAGAACUGGAGAACCUUGAGAUCUACACUUUCCUGUCGAAAAAGUGCCUGAAGAAGCUCUCUAGGGAGGGCAGCUCCCAUCACCUUCCACGCCAAGUCCGCCCAGGGCCAGUGUACAAACCAGCACCUGCUAGGAACCACCGGCCACGUGGGGGGCGUGGGAAAGCUUCUCCCACCAGCUUCCAUGUGUCCCCACGGGCUCCCCUGGCUCCUCUGGCCUCCAUGCCGUCAUCAGUCCCGAAGACCUCCGUAGAGUCCUUGGGGUCUCCAUCAUCCCUGAGCUCCUCCAAGCCACGAGAGCCUCUGUGUCCCCUGAAGCACCCUUCACACCAGCCACCUGCGAGCACCCUAUCACCAAAC
ensembl:lncRNA novel transcript